GCAACUGAACAGGCUGUUGUUGAUUACGCCGUCGCUUUCCCGACACAUGGUCAGCACCGGGCCAGCAACGAACUGCGUAAACAGGGGGUUUUUAUCUCCGACAGUGGUGUCCGUUCUGUCUGGUUACUCCAUAACCUUGAGAAUCUCAAAAGACGAUACUGAACAAAUUUUAUCAGGUGACGUUCCGUAAAAAGUUGUAUGGAGUUCUCGAUGCAGUCGGCGCGACUAUCAGUACCCCCGCUGAACCCUGGACUAUCGGGCCGCCGUACUGGGGCAUGUCACCCUGGCGUGCCGCUGGUUUUCCGCUAAUGGUUUAUUUCCUCUUUCUUUCCCGGCAAGAAUUUAUUUUAAUCCGGAAGGAUUAUUUAUUUUCAGAUAGGGACUCACAUUAAACACGUAACAUUUUAAUUAAUGCAUGGCUGAAUAUGUAUUACACAAUGUCAGAUAUCGUAAAAGACCAGUGCAAUUCUAUGUAAACUCUCUGACUGUUCAUUUUAUUUGUUGUUUCAGGGUCGGAACUCACCCUCAAUAAACAACUGAAUACGAGUAGAUAUUCAUCGUCUGAGCUAUAUGGCUUUACACAAUAGCCGACAUGUCUUUUCUCAGUCAGGAAUUUUACUUUUCCUCACUACGAAGUUGACGACUUCGAUAUGGGAUAGACUCUUAAUUCAAGCAAUUACUCUGCACAAGCAUCAGGCAAUCCAGCUCCAAUAUUUGUUAUAAAAUAAUGCGUAACAUUAAUUUCACCAACAAAAAAAGGUUUACACCAUCCCCUUGCCCUGGUAUCUUACCAUAUUUACACCACACUUUUUUUGUAUCUGGAUCAUUCUUUGAUACGAUUUUCGCCACUUGUUCCCUGGCCCUCACUGUCAAUGUUUUCUUAAACCUCCCCCCAUCAUCAUUUGUUAGGGAAAAAUAAGAAAAAAAUAAUCAUCUUCUACAUUUGUGUAUAUUGAUAUAUCCACCGCUACGUGCGGAAAAAAAUCUGGGAGCCAUGUAAAAACUCCAUCAUUUUCUGGUAUUGCCAUAUAGUUUAUGUAAUGUUUACUUACAAGAGAUUCAUCUUUGUAUAAAUAAAGAUAAGUAAUUACGCAUAAAACAACAAUGAUUAUAAUAGCAAUAAUAAAUAUUAUCAUCUUUGAUAGAUUACUUGAGAUAGCCAGCAUCUUGUAAAGCCUUUAUCGUUUCUUUAUGCUCUGGAUUAAUAUAAUCACUACAUCUAUCUGAGCAAUCUGUUGUUGAUGGACAUGUCAACCCAUGGUCAUUUACAGCCAAGUCUUUUUUAUUAUCUUCAAUCAUUUCAGAAUGGGAUAGCUUUACUUUUCUGCCGUACAUACCGAACAGAUUUAACCCGUAAUCUCUAAUCUCUUUUUCAUAACCCAGCCCUUUCGCCGAUCGGCUAACACCAGCGUCAUUUAAUUUAGACACUCGACAAAAUGCCAUACAAUGGAAAAAUUGAUCAGUCCCACCUAAAUUUAAUCUCUUCAUAUCUUCAUAAGUAUCAGAUAAUAUAUCCCAUGCUCUUUGAUGGUUUAGUUGAUCUUUUCUUCUUAUUAGCGCUACAUCUGCGGGACUUAACCCUAAUGGAUCAAUACCAUUCACCGGAUUCAGCGGAUACGCAUACAGACUCCAUCCCCCCUCCAGCCCUAUCGGGUCCUGAGUGAUAUACCGCCCCUGCAACGGAUCGUAGUACCGGUUCCGGUUGUAGUACAGCCCCGACUCCUUAUCAUACUGCUGCCCCGGCAGCCGGUACGGCUGGUGCAGGUGAUGCGGGUUCUCCUCAUUCAGCUGGUUGCCCCAUUCAUCAUACUCCCCGCUCCACGCCGUAUUGCCGUCUUCGCUGAUGAGCGCCAGCGGCAGGCCCCGGUGGUCGCAGUGGUAAAGAUGAACUUUUCUCGCCGGUGUGUAUUCCGGCUCCACCUGUCUGGCCAGUUGCUCCACCGUCAGCCCGCACUGCGCAAGCCACGCCCGGCUUUCACUGCUCACGCGGUCUGCCCGGAUUUCUUCCUCCAGCCUGUCCA
rnacentral:rRNA from 1 species